rnacentral:rRNA from 1 species
CCUACGGGUGGCAGCAGUGAGGAAUAUUGGUCAAUGGGCGCGAGCCUGAACCAGCCAAGUAGCGUGAAGGAUGACUGCCCUACGGGUUGUAAACUUCUUUUAUAAAGGAAUAAAGUGAGGCACGUGUGCCUUUUUGUAUGUACUUUAUGAAUAAGGAUCGGCUAACUCCGUGCCAGCAGCCGCGGUAAUACGGAGGAUCCGAGCGUUAUCCGGAUUUAUUGGGUUUAAAGGGAGCGUAGAUGGGUUGUUAAGUCAGUUGUGAAAGUUUGCGGCUCAACCGUAAAAUUGCAAUUGAUACUGGCAGGUCUGAGGACAGGUGAGGUAGGCGGAAUUCGUGGUGUAGGCGUGAAAUGCGUAGAUAUCACGAAGAACUCCGAUUGCGAAGGCAGCUUACUAAACUGCCACUGACAUUGAUGCUCGAAAGUGUGGGUAUCAAACAGGAUUAGAUACCCCAGUAGUC